CCUCCCAAGCGAUGGGAUUAAAGGCGUGUGCCACCAAAUGACUUUCUAAAGAACCCUUAAGUUUCCACUUCAGUCUGCAGGGCAGUUAGACUGUGACUCAUCCUACCUCCGGUGUCCCUGGACUGAGACCUUAGGAGCCAAGAAGCAGCCUGUCUACUUAUGCUAGAAACAGAUGGAGUAGAAUGAGCUGCUGUCUUCACUCUGCUGCGGGAGGAGCAGCCCUGAUGACAAUGGUGUUAGCGCUUUCCCUCCUUUCUACUUCUGUUGUUCUCUUAGAACUCUGUGUGGAUAAGAACUUAACAGGGAGGCAGUUAAUGAGUGACUAAGGUAGGAAACACAUUCUUAGUGUGUGUGUGUGUGUGUGUGUGUGCGCGCGUGCAUGUGCGUGUGUCCGUGCACUUACAUGUGUGGGGGAAUGCAUGUGCCAUGAUAAUGCAUGUAGAAACAGAAGGACAACUAUGUGGGGUUCCCUUCUACUUGCUUUAUGUAGGACCCUACAUUUGAACUCUGGUCAGCAGGCUUGCACAGUGAAGGUAAAUGCCUUUACUGGCUUAGCCAUUGUCAGCUUCUUCAAGAUCAUGCACAGAUGGCCUUGGAGCACCAAGACAUGACAGUUUAUUACUGGAGUGGCAGGAAGCAAAUUUAAGGAAGUUAUGGUGGCAUCUUCUCCUAUACCAAUCAUUCUCUUAAUCACAUUGUAAAAGGAGUACUUGGGAAACGGAGCGAAGACUAAUAUGAAGAUGAUGAACUGAAAUCUAUGGUAGCACUUAAAGGAGAAAAGCACUGCUUGGUAAAUAAUAUGUGUGGGGCAAAGCACCACACAGAAAACAUUUCAUAUGGUUUUUUAUUUAUUUUA